rnacentral:RNase_P_RNA from 1 species
GAUGAUCGCAGGUAGUAAUACGUGAGGAAAGUCGGAGCUCCAUAGAGCAGGGUGCUAGGUAACGCCUAGUGAGAGCGAUCUUAAGGAUAGUGCAACAGAAAUAAACCGCCCUUUUAUAGGGUAAGGAUGGAAAGGCGAGGUAAGAGCUCACCAGCAUAUAGGUGACUAUAUGGCUAUGUAAACCCCACCUGGUGCAAGGCCAAGUUAGGAAGAAGAGAUGUUGCUCGCAUCUCCCGGUAGGUAGGCCGCUUGAGCCUAUUGGUGACAAUAGGCCUAGAAAGAUGAUCAUCUAAUACAGAACUCCGCUUAUAGCUAUACUUG